AAACUAGAUGGCUUAACACAACAAAAAUGCAUUCUCUCAUAGUUCUGGAGGCCAGAAAUCUGCAAUCGGUAUAAUUAGGACAAAAUCAAGGUAUCAGCAAGGCCUCAGCUCCCUUCAGAGGCUCUAGGGGAGAAUCCAUGCCUUGCCUCGCCUCUUCCAGUUUCUCGUGGCUACCAGCAUUCUGUGGUUCGUGGCCACAUCGCUCCAAUCUUCAAGGCCGGCAUCUUCAGCUCUCUCUCAGUUUCCCCUUCACAUCAUCCUUUCCUGUGAAGCCUCCCUCUGCCUCUCUCUUAUAAGGAUACGCGUGACUGCGUUUAGGGCUCACUUACAUAACCCAGGAUAAUUUCCCCACUUCAUCUGUAAAGACACUCCCCACACCACCCCCCUUCUUUUGCUAUGUGAGGUGAGCCACAGAUGUCUUUUGAAGAGGCACUUUCCAGCCGACCACAGCUCCCAAAUCUCGCCAACCCUGAUCACUCUUGAGCAACAGAUCAGUUGACUCCUAUAGCCCAUGGAUCUUCAUUCUCCUCACAAAGUUUAAUUAGAAUCUUGGCUUUCAACUCCACCCUCAAGGAAAUGGAAGACUUGUUAUAAUUUAUUAAAUCCAGAGACACUGACUGGGCCACAUUUUCUCCAUCUACUGUGUCUUAUUAGAAGGUCUGGUCCUUUUUCAUGCACCUGGAAAGAUCUGCUUCCCCUUCUAUGACCCUAACCACGACCCGUAGUAAGAAAAAGAUGCGACAGUGUGACCUGGAGUACAAACAUGGGCAAGUGAAACUGGGCUGUAAAACGUAUCCUCACUACAUGUGAUACUCAUGUUCCCGUCCUUCCCCUCUCUGCCUUCUCAGCUGCUGAGGGCUUCCAACUGAACUGCUCUCACAACCCGAACUGGAAAACUAAGGCAGUAACACGUGCCAAUCUGUAUUAGUGUUCUCAUGUGUUUUACAAAGUUUUUCAGCAUCACCAGAUAUACAGAAAGAUGUUGUGAUUAAUCCUAGUCAGAUCUAGAUGAUCUGAACCUUCUCUGAUUUUGCUGCUCUGCUAACAAAACCCCAAACUAAAUGAUUCCCUAGAAUGGGUUUCUCCAACACUAGUACAAGUAACAAUCACCUGAAGGGCCUGUUGAACACACAUUACAGGGCCUCACUGAGUUUUUCUUUCCGGUGGCCUAGGGAGGGUCCCAAGAAUUUGCAUUUCUAAUAUCACCCAGAGGUGCUAAUGGUGCUACUGGUCUAGGAAUCAAACUAUCAAACCACCUAGUACUUCCUUAGAAAUGGGGAGAGUCAUGAAAAACAAACAUAUGAAAUAGAGAAGGAUAUAAGCUAUAUAACCCAUCUCAAGAUAAAAGUGAAUACAUUCGUUAAUUGUUUACCUCAGGACUUAAAACCUAAAUGAAAUCAUGAAUCUAUUUGACAAAUAAUGACUAGUUAUUAUGUGCCACACUAUGUGGAGUAACGUGCUAAGUCAGUAUUUCCCAAAGUCUGUGUCAUAAAGUAUGUUAAGUAGAUGUCGCAGGCCAAGUGUUCCAUAAAUAAGAUGGGAAAAUGCUGGAUAAAACAAGUCCUACGACAAAGAAAUAUCCAACUUAUUAGAGCCAUUAAAAUACUCAUGUUCAUAGUAGCCCUCCAAAAGGUAGCUACUGCAGGGGG